rnacentral:sRNA from 1 species
UACGUAGCACCAGUAUCCUUACUCUAGAACUUUCAAAAUAUUCAUUUCGCUUUGACAGGUCACAAUUUCCAAGGAAUCGUUCCACCUUAGUCAACAAACAGUAGCCAUGGGCCUUGUCUUUAUUCUCUUGUUUCUUCUCCUUGUUACUACCGUGGAUGCAGAUUGCCAGAAUGGUGUGUUGGCAUGUCUCAGAACGUUCCAAUCUAAUGUAGAAGCCCAUGGGUCAGACAGAACAAAACUUUGCCAAGAUAUUGACCAGUACAUACAGUGUUUUUUUAGUCAAGGAUGUCCUGUAAGUGAAUCCGACAAACAAAAGUUAAUUUACGAACAAAGCGCCCAAGUUGAAAGAUUGAA